AAUCUUCCGCAAUGGACGCAAGUCUGACGGAGCAACGCCGCGUGAGUGAGGAAGGCUUUCGUAUCGUAAAACUCUGUUGAUAGAGGAGAACAAGUACCGUUUGAACAAGGUGGUAACUUGCCGUAUUCUAACGAGAAAGCCCGGGCUAUCUAAUUCCCAGCGGCCGCGGUAAUACGUAGGGGGCAAGCGUUGUCCGGAAUUAUUGGGCGUAAAGCGCGAGCAGGGGGUCUUUGAAGUCUGAUGUGAAAUCUGGCGGCUCAACCGCGAGCGGUCAUUGGAAGCUGGGGGGCUUGAGUAUAGGAGAGGAAAGUGGAAUUCCACGUGUAGCGGUGAAAUGCGUAGAGAUGUGGAGGAACACCAGGGGCGAAGGCGACUUUCUGGCCUAUAACUGACGCUGAGGCGCGAAAGCGUGGGGAGCAAACA
rnacentral:rRNA from 1 species